CCUUGAUAAACGCUGNGCGGCGUGCCUAACACAUGCAAGUCGAACGCCCUUAGCAAUAGGGGAGUGGCGGACGGGUGAGGAACACGUGGGUGCACCUACCCUAAAGUGAGGAAUACCAUCGGGAAACCGAUGACAAGACCGCAUACGUUCCGUAAGGAGCAAAGCUCGCAAGGGCGCUUUGGGAUGGGCCCGCGUCCGAUUAGCUGGUUGGUGGGGUAAAAGCCUACCAAGGCGACGAUCGGUAGCUGGUCUGAGAGGACGAUCAGCCACACUGGGAUUGAGAACGGCCCAGACUCCUACGGGGGGCAGCAGUGAGGAAUUUUCGUCAAUGGGGGAAACCCUGAACGAGCAACGCCGCGUGCAGGAAGAAGGUCUUCGGAUCGUAAACUGCUUUUCUCUGGGACGAGCAAGGACGGUACCAGAGGAAUCAGCCUCGGCUAACUACGUGCCAGCAGCCGCGGUAAUACGUAGGAGGCAAGCGUUGUCCGGAGUUACUGGGCGUAAAGCGCACGCAGGCGGUCGUGCAAGUUUGGAGUGACAGUGCCCGGCUUAACUGGGCUAGUGCUUCGAAAACUGCGCGACUUGAGGGCUUCAGA
rnacentral:rRNA from 1 species